GGAGACCGUUAGUUGGAUUGCAAAGCAAUGUAAUGCUGGGAAUAAUUGAUUGAUUCGCUUGCCUGUAGUCUGUAGACAACGAUUUCACGUGAUGGAAUUGAGUUAAUUAUAUUAACAUAAUUAAACAACUACCUACUUUACGAGCAUGAUCCAUUUCGAAUCGAGGAUUAGAUAAGUCAAUACUAGAUCUUGUUAUUGAGAAUGGCAUCUCUGACGAGGAAGAGAGGAAUCCAAUAAAACUUCACAAAU